CAGAGAGAGCUCAAAGCAAGAAUAGCAAGUUUGAAAAUCUCCAUACAUGGAUGGUAUUCAAACCAGGAGAUUGGUGGGCUCACCCAGGUGGAUUGUAGAUGCAGAAGAGAAGAGCUCAGGAUUGCAUCCUAGGUCUUCUAAAGUUGAGAGGUUAAGUAGAAAAUAAAGAAUAACAAAAAAGAGACUGAGAAGGAACAGCCAGUGAAGCAGGAGGAACAUCAACAAGUGAGAUUUCAUAAAAGCCAGGAGAAGAAAAUGUUUCGAGAAGAGGGGCACACAGACUCGUCUCCCAACUCAUCAGUCUGUGAGCUACUCAAGGGAGGAACCAUGUCUUGCUCAUCUUUGUAUUUUAGAGCCCGUCACAAGAUUGACCUUGUGUGAAGUGCUUAGUAAAUGCAUGUCAAGUCGAUGAAUGAAAGAAUGAGUAAUGGAAACAGGGUUGGCUGUUGGAUCCAGAUACCUUGAUUUGUGCCCCAGGUCUACCAGUGACCACUGUGUGAUCUCGGCCAAGCCACGUAACCUCUCCUGACCUCAGACACCUCACCGGUAGAGUGGUAAUGACAACACCUAUGCUACCGGCCUCGUAUGGCUGCAGUGAGGACCCAAUGACAUCAUUUAUGGAAAAGCACCUUAUAAGCUGAAAAGGGGGAAGCACACAUCCUAACACCGUGAAGUUUACUGGACUGAUUGGACCUCAAAGCUCACACUGCUGAGCAAGGUGAGUGUUGGAAAAAGAGGCCUCCUGCUCUAGGAACUCGCCAAAAACCUGUCAGCAGGAGAAUCUUUCAGAGCAAGCACAAAGACAGAUGCAUGUGCUUACACGGAAAUGUGUUUUUAACAAAUAUAACAUGAGAAUGGAAUUCUUUUCUCCCUACAUCCAGCCUUGAUAGCUAAUUAAUUCCACCUGGAGGAGGGAGCCAGGCAUUGGGUAAGGAACAGUCCUUAUUCCAUGUUUGGGAAAGAAUUUACGGUAGCUCUCUCAUGAGGAUCUGGGGAAAGGCAAAGCAUAAACCAAGUCACUGGGAUUUUUUAAUUGUAGUUGUUGUUUUUGAGAUGGAGUUUUGCUCUGUGGCCCAGGCUAGAGUGCCCAGGCUGGUGUGACCUUGGCUCACUGCAACAUCCACCUUCCGGGUUCAAGCGAUUCUUCUGCCUCAAC
rnacentral:lncRNA from 1 species